rnacentral:misc_RNA from 1 species
GAGGAGACCGUAGUUGCCACCAAUCAAAGAUUGUCUACAAUAAGCCUUAGUGUUGUACUUUGAUGACAAUCCAAGUUGAUCCAAGUACCAGAAGCUAUUUAGGAAUUUAUUGGAUACUUCACGACUGCCGCUGUUGUAGGCACCGCCAGCUUCGCCAACCCAAGGAGAGGCCCAUGGUCCAUAUUUCUUGAUUGUGAGAUCGAGAUUUCUAAAGGUAUCGGCUACCCGACUUAGAUAUAGUGG